rnacentral:rRNA from 1 species
CGGAACGGGUGAGUAACGCGUGAGGAACCUGCCUCAAAGAGGGGGACAACAGUUGGAAACGACUGCUAAUACCGCAUAAGCCCACGGUGCCGCAUGGCACAGAGGGAAAAGGAGCAAUCCGCUUUGAGAUGGCCUCGCGUCCGAUUAGCUAGUUGGUGAGGUAACGGCCCACCAAGGCGACGAUCGGUAGCCGGACUGAGAGGUUGAACGGCCACAUUGGGACUGAGACACGGCCCAG